rnacentral:rRNA from 1 species
GGAGUUAGCCGGUGCUUCUUCUGCGAGUAACGUCACAGAUGUAAGGUAUUAACUUACACCCUUUCCUCCUCGCUGAAAGUGCUUUACAACCCGAAGGCCUUCUUCACACACGCGGCAUGGCUGCAUCAGGGUUUCCCCCAUUGUGCAAUAUUCCCCACUGCUGCCUCCCGUAGGAGUCUGGGCCGUGUCUCAGUCCCAGUGUGGCUGAUCAUCCUCUCAGACCAGCUAGGGAUCGUCGCCUAGGUGAGCCUUUACCUCACCUACUAGCUAAUCCCACCUGGGCUUAUCCAUCAGCGCAAGGCCCGAAGGUCCCCUGCUUUCCCCCGUAGGGCGUAUGCGGUAUUAGCAGUCGUUCAACUGUUAUCCCCACAAAUGGCAAAUUCCCAGGCAUUACUCACCCGUCCGCCGCUCGUCAUCUUCAAAAGCAAGCUUUGAAAUGUUACCGCUCGACUUGCAUGUGUUAGGCCUGCCGCCAGCGUUCAAUCUGAGCCAUAAUCAAACUCUGA